CAGAACAACUUCUCUUUGGCUUGGACCCAUACAGGGAGAGCAGAAAAACUCCUUAUGGGAAAGUCUGGGGUUGUCUGGAGUCUAGGGAGGAAAAUGAAGGCUCUUUACUGAGGAUAACUGCCUCCAACCCCUCUGUACUGGAAAGGACCAAUGCUAGUGAUUCCUUGCCCAGUCAUUCUCUCUGUCUCUUUGACCAUAACUCCAUGAGGACCCCGGUGCCAUCAUUAUCGCCCUGUUUUGUAGCAUAGAGCCGAGAAGGGUCCCCGCCAAAGAGCAUGUAAGAAACUGGGCCAGGCUUGGAACUCAAGUCCCCUGACUACUGAACCAGGACUCUUUCCUCCUCAUAACUCCAGAAACAAGGACCUUGAGUUGAAGGUUGUGUGGAGAUUGUGUUGGCCACGAACCUUCCAUAUGAGGAUUCUGAGGCUGGUGUUGGGGGCAAGAUUCAAACUCCAAGUCUGGGCUCUCCCAGCGACUCCCCCAGCUCAAGACAAGCUUAUGGCAGAGUGGAGAUGAGGAACAAGAGCAUAUCACAUAGUCUCCUCCCUCCCACAGCCCUGAUCUUGGUAUCCUCUCUCCCACGGCCCCGAGGGGGCUUAUGAUCUCACAAGACACCUACAUGGCCACCUGGGUGGUCCAUCUCUGAUACCUUACCUUAGUCAACAAGAGAGCUGACAGAAGAAGCAGACCUUCCCCCACUAAGCCAGGAGAAUUCCGGCAACUGGCUCCAGUGGAAGAGUUUUGUUAGAACCCCCCAAAGCAGGAGGCCGGAACCGGGCAAGAGAAAAUUUCCGAUACUGUUUAUCCAACGAUUAGGCUUCUCCUUGAUUUAUUUACAUCGAACAUUUUGGUAACCAUCUGCUCUUAAACUAAACGGAAAAUUAUCCUCCUCCUGCUGUGACGGCAUUUCCCUUGGAUGUUUUUAAUAAAAAAAAUCUAUCAUUUUAAUGUAGACAGCUCAGCUAAUAAAAAUGAUCUGUGCCAUUAGUAAUUAUCCCACAAAUACAAUGCAAACAAGCUGAAGGGUCCUUGGAAGCCUGGGCCCAGGGUCCCUACUACUGGAUAUGGGACAAGACUGGGGCUGGGGGGUCUGAUUUCUUUCUCUUGACUGGGGACGGGAGAGGAAAAGGUCCCUGAGAAUCACAGGGGAAGGAUCCAGGUGUGUCAGGUCCAGCUCUUGAAUCGGUGGUGAAUUCCUUGGAAAUAUACUUAUUAUGGGAACUCUAGGAUGGGGUGGAAACUUGCAGGAUCAUGGAAUCUAAGCUGGAAGAAACUUUUAGAGAUCAUCUUGGUUGUCAACCUGGGGCCCCCAGGUAGAUGUCAGAGGGUCUUUGAAUUUGGAUGGGGAAAAAAUGUGCAUUUUUAU